CCCGUGAAGGACUUCACUAGGUUUGGCAGUUCGUUUUUGGCUGUGGUGUGAGCGGGUUGAAGAAAAUGUCAACCAGGGUUAACGUAAACUGGUGCUUCUUUUUGGUUAAAGUAGGUGUUGCUGGCUAGGCCUGUAUCUGUUGUCUACCUCUGAAUGGCUAGUGGACGGUUAAGUCAAUCACAUUACUGUGGAUCUGGAGUCCCGUAGAGGCCAGACCAGAAUUACAGACUGCGCAAGUGGAGCACUGAAGAGCACACGAGCACCACCUGCUGGAGUGUCAUGCAGUUAUUUGCUGUUUCAAUAGAUAAGUGGAAAUAGAUGAAUUUCAGACUGUUUGAACUCCUCAUAAUUUUCUGCCUAGUUGCAGAGUGGUCUAGUCAAAUGAAGACUGCAGUUAUGGAAAAAAGAUAUGGUUAGUGAAUUGCACAAUUACCAGCAAUACAUAAAUUAAAAUUGCCUAUAAAUAGCUGCAAACAUUCAUUUUUGUAUCAACAAGGGAACAGCUGUCUGCUUAACUAACUUUUGAUUUGUUUGCUAUUUGUCAUAUGCUUCAGAAGUAUGUAUUUUUGUAAUGAUGUACUCGCUAUUGUUCUCAAUCUUUGUAAAUUAAACAUAUUUUGAGCUGGAUGUGCUUCAGACCUGUAUGUGCAAUGUAAUCAUCCUCAAAUCCUGUUGUCACCAUUGAUGAAGUUACUACUGAAUUAAAAAUGUGAUUUGUGCAUAUGUUGGAAUAUCCAGGGUGGAGGAAGAAAAUUGUGGGUAUUAAUACUUGAAUAGCUGUAAAUCUUAAUUAGCUGACUAUUUUUGAUAUACACUACAAUGUGAAUUCUUCAACGUGAAUUGGCUAUAACGUGAUUGAAGAGUUUAGACCAUUAUUUGUAGAACACAAGUUUUUCUUCCUUGUAUUGGCUAUAACAUGAAUCUGAUCCCAUUGGUUUAAAUGGUGCUGCUAUUAUGCAAUUUUCAUAACAGGUUCACACAGGAGUGGAAUUAUUCUGUUAUAUCAGAACAGUCUGUAGUUGAAUGGCUGGCUGAAGUGAAAAUGUUCUUUUUAUCUGCAAUAUUAACUGCCUUCGAGAACUCCUGGAGAUCUUCAAGCCUCCUGGGCAGUGUCCAACCUUCAGUAUUGUGCCUGAUGCAACUUUAAAGGUGAUAUGUUUUCUUCAAUUUUGUGUUUCAAAUUCAUUCUUGAUAGAAUGCUUGGGUUAUUGCUACUUUUGAGAGUAUUCAGUUUGGACUGUUUGUUGAAAUCUGCUACAACUCAAAUUGUCCAAUGCUUCAGAUUGUUUUGAAUCUAUACUAAUGCCUUUAACAAACCUGCCAUGUGGUCUGUUAAUGUAUUUUGUGAGCCUCCAGAAACUUUGAAAUUUCAGGUAUGUAACUUCUGAGCUCUUUUUGUAUUGGUUAGAUUUAAUAUUCCUUGAGCACAAUACCUUAGACAUUCAAACAUUUGGAGUGUACUGGUAUUGUUUGAACUGAUACUUAAAGAGAAAAAAAUUACUUAAUUCCAGGCGCAUGCAACUGAGAAUUAUGUGAUUUAAAUCGUCAGCAAUAGAAGAAAGAAACCUUUAAUAAGGUAACGUCUAGUCGUGAAUUCACGGUUCAAGUGAAAUUGGCUUCGUCUGACAGAACGUUUAGCCCACUUUUUUCUUUAGUGUAUGGAGAGAAACUGAAUUCUUGUAACUUGGGAUCCUCCAGUUCCUAAAUCAUCUGGUUGUAUUUCUUUCAACCUGAGACACCAGGGACGAACAAGAAACAAAAUAUUAUGCAAUCUGCACUUACCCUUUCGUUUUCUCCAAUCCCCUCACUCCACCCAAAAACAAACUCUAAAAUGACAAACUAUUAUGUAGCAUCAGGGGAGGCAUGAGUUAAUCCACAAUAUUACUUACAGCAGAAAACACUUUUUUUGCUUUUUUUUAAAAAAAACAGUAUUCUGCACUGUAGAUAUGUUUUUAAUUUAGCAGAUUUUUAAAAAUCAUGCAUAACUUCAAAGGCUCCUAAUUUAUCAGUUUUUGUUUUAAACCAGUCUGUUAACUUAAUCUAAUUACACAAUGGGAUAAGUCAUACUUUGAAUUUAGUAACGAAACGUAACAAAAAUGUCUCCAAAUAAAACACAUUUACUCUCUUUUUGGUAACAUUCAAUUAAUAGACAAAAAUGUUCUACUUUGUUGGAGGAAUUGUUUGCUUUACCUAUAGAUUACCAAUAUAGGAUUGAAUACAGAUACAAUUCUUGAAGUACAACCGCAUUAAAAAUACUGCAGUGUCAAGGAACUGAACUUUGACCAAACUGUCAUUAAAGUCUAUCAGUGGCAUUUUGUUUUUUUUUUUAAAAACUUCAGACAUUUUUGAUUUAAGCAUUUGCUUUGGCAUGUAUGUAGCCCCUUUUUGUGUUAUGGAACCAGAUGUUGUCAAGAUACUUAGAGAUAUGUGGAAAUAUAAUACCUCAUUCUAUCAUCUGUCAAUUAAGCAAAAUUAGACACAAACGGGAGAUCUUCAUUUUUAUCGAUGGAAAACAAUUAGUACGUUCACAGUACUGAUCUUUUAUACAAGAAUGUGGGUGGCACGGUGGCACAGUGGUUAGCACUGCUGCCUCACAGUGCCAGAGACCCGGCUUCAAUUCCCGCCUCAGGCGACUGACUGUGAAGUUUGCACGUUCUCCCCGUGUCUGCGUGGUUUCCUCCGGGUGCUCUGGUUUCCUCACACAGUCCAAAGAUGUGCGGGUUAGGUAAAUUGGCCAUACUAAAUUGCCCGUAGUGUUAGGUAAGGGGUAUAUGUAGGGGUAUGGGUGGGUUGCGCUUCGGCGGGUCGGUGUGGACAAAUUUCGUACAAUGUGGAUUCCCUUUUUUUUCUCAUCUCCCCAAUUUGCUUGCCACGUCUUUGGGCAUACUUUUAAAUGCACUGCUACGUUUUGUAAACUGGGUUAGUUUCUCACAUUAAACAAAAAAAAAAUGAAGGUUAUACAUUCAAAUAUUGAGCUGCCUGUGAACAGUGUUAUUUCUUCUCUUGAUCGUAUGUUCUAAUCUUGUGUACACAGUUCUCCAUCCAUCCAUGUUUUUAACUUACACACUUGAUGCAAUUUCUGUAUUGAAGAUUUUAAUGUAAUUUAUUUUGGAAGAACGAAGCUCAACUUCACUUUGGAUGCUAAUAUUGACAGCUUGAAUAUGGAAGAAAUUGGAAUACAUUUACAGUGCUGGUUACAAGUAAUUUAUUUCCCAGAUAUUAGUUCCUUGUUUUACCUUCAAUUAUCUUAAAGCUGUGUUGUGCUGUUUUUGGAGUUUUCACACAAUAUAGCAGUGGUUAAGGCUGACAUUGAGAAAACUCCAGUGUUAAUCGACAUGAUGGUUCUAAUACAAGAUCAUUGCAAAUGAUGUACUUUCAGAAGCUUCACACAAUUAAAAUACACCUAAAUUGA